rnacentral:tRNA from 1 species
GGAAAGGUGGCCGAGUGGCUUAAGGCACACGUUUGGAGGGCGUGCGUACUGUAAUAGGUGCCGAGGGUUCAAAUCCCUCCCUUUCCGCCA